CUGAAUCUGGAAUGGAAACCAGUGUUGCCCACAAACCAGUAAUCAUUGAAUCAACUGCUGAAUUAUGGGUUUCUCUUGGCUACAGAAAGCUUUCAUUUCUGGAUAGAAGAAUGAGCGGAUGGGAAGGCGUAGGGAAGCCAGUGACAGUUCUUCAGUUAUGCAUUUCAAAAUCCAAGCCCAAGAAACUGAUGUUGGGAUUCAGCAGGAAGGCCCUGGUGCAUUCCGUCUUCCGCACCCACAGCUUCUGUAACUGACAACCCAGUGGAGGAAGGACAUCCCAAUGGAAGGAGCCCCAUGGACAUGGUUAGAUGCAGAUGCAAGACAGGUUAUGAGACCCACGGACCCUAGGAUUAGGAAAGACCCAGUAUCUAGAAGCACUGGGAAGACAGAAGAAGACAGAGGAAGAAAUGCAGACAGGAGAUUUGGAACGCCAUGCUGAUGGCCUUAUAAUGUACUGGGCAGCUAGAAUUCCAGGACUCCUACAGCUGGUUACAGUAAGCUGAGUUGUGUAUACUGGAUGCUUGCCAGCAUUAAAUGUUUUUAACU